UAGGGAAUCUUCGGCAAUGGACGAAAGUCUGACCGAGCAACGCCGCGUGAGUGAAGAAGGUUUUCGGAUCGUAAAACUCUGUUGUUAGAGAAGAACAAGGACGUUAGUAACUGAACGUCCCCUGACGGUAUCUAACCAGAAAGCCACGGCUAACUACGUGCCAGCAGCCGCGGUAAUACGUAGGUGGCAAGCGUUGUCCGGAUUCAUUGGGCGUAAAGCGAGCGCAGGCGGUUUCUUAAGUCUGAUGUGAAAGCCCCCGGCUCAACCGGGGAGGGUCAUUGGAAACUGGGAGACUUGAGUGCAGAAGAGGAGAGUGGAAUUCCAUGUGUAGCGGUGAAAUGCGUAGAUAUAUGGAGGAACACCAGUGGCGAAGGCGGCUCUCUGGUCUGUAACUGACGCUGAGGCUCGAAAGCGUGGGGAGCAAACAGG
rnacentral:rRNA from 1 species